rnacentral:rRNA from 1 species
UACGAAGGGGGCUAGCGUUGCUCGGAAUCACUGGGCGUAAAGGGUGCGUAGGCGGGUCUUUAAGUCAGGGGUGAAAUCCUGGAGCUCAACUCCAGAACUGCCUUUGAUACUGAAGAUCUUGAGUUCGGGAGAGGUGAGUGGAACUGCGAGUGUAGAGGUGAAAUUCGUAGAUAUUCGCAAGAACACCAGUGGCGAAGGCGGCUCACUGGUCCGGUACUGACGCUGAGGUGCGAAAGCGUGGGGGAGCAAACAGG